rnacentral:rRNA from 1 species
UACGGAGGGUGCAAGCGUUAUCCGGAUUCACUGGGUUUAAAGGAUGUGUAGGCGGAUUUUUAAGUCAGUGGUGAAAUCUCCGGGCUCAACCCGGAAACUGCCAUUGAUACUAUUAGUCUUGAAUUCUGUUGAGGUGGGCGGAAUACAUCAUGUAGCGGUGAAAUGCUUAGAUAUGAUGUAGAACACCGAUUGCGAAGGCAGCUCACUAAGCAGACAUUGACGCUGAGGCACGAAAGCGUGGGGAUCAAACAGG